GACGACGCUGGCGGCGUGCCUAACACAUGCAAGUCGAACGGGGGGAACAUGAAGUAUUUCGGUACGGAAUGCGCCCCUAGUGGCGAACGGGUGAGUAACACGUGGGCAACCUGCCCCAGACUGGGGGAUAACAUUGUGAAAACAGUGCUAAUACCGCAUGACAGGGUUCCGGGCAUCCGGGACCCUUGAAAGGAGAAAUCCGGUCAGGGAUGGGCCCGCGUCCAAUUAGCUAGUUGGCGGGGUAACGGCCCACCAAGGCGACGAUUGGUAGCCGAACUGAGAGGUUGAUCGGCCACAUUGGGACUGAGACACGGCCCAGACUCCUACGGGAGGCAGCAGUGGGGAAUAUUGGGCAAUGGGCGAAAGCCUGACCCAGCGACGCCGCGUGAAGGAUGAAGGUCUUCGGAUUGUAAACUUCUUUGAUCAGGGAAGAAAGAAAUGACGGUACCUGAAAAACAAGCCACGGCUAACUACGUG
rnacentral:rRNA from 1 species